UGACUNGAGUGCAGAAGGGGAGAGUGGAAUUCCAUGUGUAGCGGUGAAAUGCGUAGAUAUAUGGAGGAACACCAGUGGCGAAAGCGGCUCUCUGGUCUGUCACUGACGCUGAGGCUCGAAAGCGUGGGUAGCGAACAGGAUUAGAUACCCUGGUAGUNCACGCCGUAAACGAUGAGUGCUAGGUGUUAGGCCCUUUCCGGGGCUUAGUGCCGGAGCUAACGCAAUAAGCACUCCGCCUGGGGAGUACGACCGCAAGGUUGAAACUCAAAGGAAUUGACGGGGGCCCGCACAAGCGGUGGAGCAUGUGGUUUAAUUCGAAGCAACGCGAAGAACCUUACCAGGUCUUGACAUCCCGAUGCUAUUCUUAGAGAUAGGAAGUUACUUCGGUACAUCGGAGACAGGUGGUGCAUGGUUGUCGUCAGCUCGUGUCGUGAGAUGUUGGGUUAAGUCCCGCAACGAGCGCAACCCUUAUUGUUAGUUGCCAUCAUUAAGUUGGGCACUCUAGCGAGACUGCCGGUAAUAAACCGGAGGAAGGUGGGGAUGACGUCAAAUCAUCAUGCCCCUUAUGACCUGGGCUACACACGUGCUACAAUGGUCGGUACAACGAGUUGCGAGCCGGUGACGGCAAGCUAAUCUCUGAAAGCCGAUCUCAGUUCGGAUUGGAGGCUGCAACUCGCCUCCAUGAAGUCGGAAUCGCUAGUAAUCGCGGAUCAGCACGCCGCGGUGAAUACGUUCCCGGGCCUUGUACACACCGCCCGUCACACCACGAGAGUUUGUAACACCCGAAGUCGGUGAGGUAACCUUUUAGGGGCC
rnacentral:rRNA from 1 species